UUUUCCCAUAACGUCGGGUUACACGUCUCACUACAAUAAUUACAACAAAUAGAAUGUAUCCAACAUUUAAAAAAUAAAAAAAAGAAAUAAACAAAACAACACAAAAUCAAUCAAUCGUACUACAAAAGUAUACGAAAAGAAAUGUAAUAAAAACAUUAAAACAAAUUAUUUUUAUAAUAUUGGUUGAAAUGACAAAAACA
rnacentral:lncRNA from 1 species